rnacentral:tRNA from 1 species
CACCACCUUGACAUGGUGGGGGUCGUUGGUUCGAGUCCAAUCGAACGCACCA